UCCGCCGCUAGUAACAGAUCUGUUCUUGAAUCCCUUCUCAUCCACAAGUCUUCUAGAUCCGCAUCUCCGAGCUCUCUUCUGCUUCCUCAUCUUCUACGGGUGAAGAGAGGAGCACGGGCUCCCAGCAAGGGCUGCUGCCCUAUGCAUCAAGUGCUUUGGUGACCAUACCGGUCCCAAAGUUGCUCAGGGCGAGGAAGCUUCUGAUCAGGAAGUCGACCUCAUGAGUCUUCUGACUGGUUCUUCUGUUUUUUUGAAGUCUAGAUUCUUCUUCUUUCAUUUUACAAGUGCUUCUCCGCUUGUUCAUGCAGCAAAGCAGCCGAUUUGGGUAUCGGGGACGCUGGUCAUGGUGUCUCGACGCCCACCUCCGACCCCACACCUAUAGCGGCGUCGCCAUUGCCGGUCCUGCCGCCAGUGGAUGCUGGAACUGCUGCAGACGAGGCGAUCACAAAGGAAGGGGAGGAUGUCCCAGUUACUGAGGGUCAGAUAGCGCAUGGAGGGAGCGACACCCUUCUGCAGCUAGAAGCCCCCGAGAUUCUCACCGGGCCAUCCCCUCAGCAUACGUUAGCCGAGGAACGGGAGGUCGUGGAGACUGGGGCUGAGAGGGAGGUGGCCCCUCUGUCGAUGGGAGAGAUUCAUCCUCAGGUGUUCCUACACAAGGUCUCCCGUUGACUGGGGACAUAAUAAAGUUAGUGCAGCAAAAUAUGGCAGAAUGCCAGAAAUUUUUAUUUGUAAGUAUCUUUCUUGUCGAGUACUUAUCUUU